GACGAACGCUGGCGGCGUGCCUAAUACAUGCAAGUAGAACGCUGAAGCGUGGAGCUUGCUCUUCUUGGAUGAGUUGCGAACGGGUGAGUAACGCGUAGGUAACCUGCCUUGUAGCGGGGGAUAACUAUUGGAAACGAUAGCUAAUACCGCAUAACAAUGGAUGACCCAUGUCAUUUAUUUGAAAGGGGCAAAUGCUCCACUACAAGAUGGACCUGCGUUGUAUUAGCUAGUAGGUGAGGUAACGGCUCACCUAGGCGACGAUACAUAGCCGACCUGAGAGGGUGAUCGGCCACACUGGGACUGAGACACGGCCCAGACUCCUACGGGAGGCAGCAGUAGGGAAUCUUCGGCAAUGGGGGCAACCCUGACCGAGCAACGCCGCGUGAGUGAAGAAGGUUUUCGGAUCGUAAAGCUCUGUUGUAAGUCAAGAACGAGUGUGAGAGUGGAAAGUUCACACUGUGACGGUAGCUUACCAGAAAGGGACGGCUAACUACGUG
rnacentral:rRNA from 1 species